CCUACGGGAGGCAGCAGUGAGGAAUAUUGGUCAAUGGGAGGAAUCCUGAACCAGCCAUGCCGCGUGCAGGACGACGGCUCUACGAGUUGUAAACUGCUUUUGUACCAGGGUAAAAUGCUCUACGAGUAUUGAUUUGAAAGUACGGUACGAAUAAGGAUCGGCUAACUCCGUGCCAGCAGCCGCGGUAAUACGGAGGAUCCAAGCGUUAUCCGGAUUCAUUGGGUUUAAAGGGUGCGUAGGUGGUUUUAUAAGUUAGCGGUGAAAUACCGAUGCUUAACAUCGGAGCUGCCGCUGAUACUGUUGGACUAGAGAUCGGAUGCGGUAGGCGGAAUGUGUAGUGUAGCGGUGAAAUGCAUAGAGAUUACACAGAACACCGAUUGCGAAGGCAGCUUGCUAGGCCGGAUCUGACGCUGAUGCACGAAAGCGUGGGGAGCGAACAGGAUUAGAUACCCGAGUAGUC
rnacentral:rRNA from 1 species